GUUAAGUAGGUGAGAGCAGGCGCGGGUAUAGGUAGGGGGCGGUCGUUAAGCGGAAGUGAUGGGCGGAAAGGGGGCGGAGGCGGUUGGAUAAGGCAGAUGGGAAAGCCCCGGGCGCAACCUGGGAACUGCAUUUGAGACGGUACGGUGAGAGUUUGGCAGAGGGGGGUGGAAUGCCACGGGUAGCAGGGAAAUGCGUAGAGAUGUGGAGGAACACCGAUGGCGAAGGCAGCCCCCUGGGCCAAUACUGACGCUCAGGCACGAAAGCGUGGGGAGCAAACAGGAUUAGAUACCCCUGUAGUC
rnacentral:rRNA from 1 species